rnacentral:rRNA from 1 species
CGGGGGGAGCAAGCGUUGUUCGGAUUUACUGGGCGUAAAGGGCGCGUAGGCGGCCACCGCAAGUCGACUGUGAAAUCUCCGGGCUUAACCCGGAAAGGUCAGCCGAUACUGCGGGGCUAGAGUGCAGAAGGGGCAACUGGAAUUCUCGGUGUAGCGGUGAAAUGCGUAGAUAUCGAGAGGAACUCCUGCGGCGAAGGCGGGUUGCUGGGCUGACACUGACGCUGAUGCGCGAAAGCUAGGGGAGCGAGCGGGAUUAGAUACCCCGGUAGUCCUAGCCUUAAACGAUGAAUGCUUGGUGUCUGGGGUUUUAUAGUCCCCGGGUGCCGUCGCUAACGCUUUAAGCAUUCCGCCUGGGAGUACGGUCGCAAGACUG